rnacentral:rRNA from 1 species
AGGAUGAACGCUGGCGGCGUGCCUAACACAUGCAAGUCGAGCGAUUUACUUCGGUAAAGAGCGGCGGACGGGUGAGUAACGCGUGGGUAACCUGCCUCAUACACAUGGAUAACAUACCGAAAGGUAUGCUAAUACAGGAUAAUAUAAGAGAUUCACAUGGAUUUCUUAUUAAAGCUCUGGCGGUAUGAGAUGGACCCGCGUCUGAUUAGCUAGUUGGUAAGGUAAUGGCUUACCAAGGCGACGAUCAGUAGCCGACCUGAGAGGGUGAUCGGCCACAUUGGAACUGAGACACGGUCCAAACUCCUACGGGAGGCAGCAGUGGGGAAUAUUGCACAAUGGGCGAAAGCCUGAUGCAGCAACGCCGCGUGAGUGAUGAAGGCCUUCGGGUCGUAAAACUCUGUCCUCAAGGAAGAUAAUGACGGUACUUGAGGAGGAAGCCCCGGCUAACUACGUGCCAGCAGCCGCGGUAAUACGUAGGGGGCUAGCGUUAUCCGGAUUUACUGGGCGUAAAGGGUGCGUAGGUGGUUUUUUAAGUCAGGAGUGAAAGGCUACGGCUCAACCGUAGUAAGCUCUUGAAACUGGGAAACUUGAGUGCAGGAGAGGAAAGUGGAAUUCCUAGUGUAGCGGUGAAACGCGUAGAUAUUAGGAGGAACACCAGUAGCGAAGGCGGCUUUCUGGACUGUAACUGACACUGAGGCACGAAAGCGUGGGGAGCAAACAGGAUUAGAUACCCUGGUAGUCCACGCCGUAAACGAUGAGUACUAGGUGUCGGGGGUUACCCCCCUCGGUGCCGUAGCUAACGCAUUAAGUACUCCGCCUGGGGAGUACGCU